ACCAGAAGAGGGCACCAGAUCUCAUUACACAUGGUUGUGAGCCACCAUGUGGUUGCUGGGAAUUGAAUUCAGGACCUCUGGAAGAGCAGCCAGAGCCAUCUUUCCAGCCCUUGAGAAAGUUUUUAAAGGUGUUUUUAGCCAAAGUAUUAUAUUACUACAUAAGUGUGGGUCCCCAAAGCCCAAAAGCCAGAUAAAAGGUUUGCAUUAUAUAGAUCCACAAAGAUUUUAGAUUUUAGUAGUGUUCUUGUCCAUUUUAACAAAUAAUUACAUAGGGAAUGUUAAAAUAAUCUGUCAUAUGCUGUGCUUAGUCACAGAGCUUAGCAAGUAGGAAGAAUUCGUUCACUCUCCCAUUCACUGAACAAAUGAUAGUCACCCUGCUAGUCCUGAGAAUACAGAGCCAUUGCUGGGUACUUAAGACAUUUUAUACUCUAGAAGGAGACAUAGACAUUAGUCUCCUACACGUAUCAUUGCAGCUGUAAGAAAAAAAUCACCAAGAAGAUGCCUAACUCCUGCAUGUGUGUGCACAGGUGUCUGGCACAAAACUGAAGGACAAGGAAUUAGCCAGAUUGAAGGGAGGCUAGAAAUUGUGGGGACACUGAUGAAGCAGGAGAAAAUGUCAGAAGACGAACCUGCUGCUGUCCACUGCUCAACUAUGGGCCGAGGAAGGGAGAGCAUGGGCGCUGGGGUGCUGCAAAGCCAGUGGAGUUCAGAGAUGCCGUACUUUGAGGACCAAGGUGUUCACUUGUGUUUCCUCAGGGACAGUACUUCCCGGCCUGGUGACAGAAUGGUACGAGUCCGUGUGGGAGAGGCCAAAGAAGCUGAGAGAAGAAACCCUGGGGGAAGUCCAGAGAAAAUCCCACAAAAUGAAAGCCCACACCUGGAGGCAGCUGUGGAGAAAGCAUUUGUCAGUCUGAUAAUGACAGCAUCGGUCUGGCCUGAAGCUGACAGACAGCUAAGAGCCUUAUAAAUCGUAAGAGUCUUUGAAGUUGCCGGGUCGGGUACCCAGGACAGAGUGUUCCCAGGGAUGUCAAAGGAAGUUUCUCCAGAGAGACCGCAGCUGCUUGCUCACCAGCCUACACGAGAAGCCCUUUAUUUGAGUGCAGUAAAAACUGGCGGCAAAGUCAGUUUUGGGGGGAACCAUGCAGCAGGAAGAGCGCAGGACAAGACCUUGGCCUCAGCCGUCUAACCAGGGGUAGGAAAUACAAAUUACCUUUCAAAGCAAAGCUACCAGUGGGCCAGUGGAAACACUGUUCCUUCCUUUAUCUUUUGUGAGAACACUUCUUUUUUGUUCACUUCAGAGCCCAGACUGGCCUUGAACUCCUGAUCCUCCUGCCCUAGCCUUCUAAGUGUUGUGCCAAUACUUCUUUAACCUGUGAAAAAGGCUGACUUCCUUGUUGUCCUUAGCAGAUAAUGUGACAGAUAUUUAAGUGUGUGCUGAGAGAGUCACAAGAAGCAAACGAGGAAGCAGCACUCCUCCACGGCUUCUGCUUCAGAGGUUCUUCCCCUGCUCAAAGUUCCUGCCCCAAUGUCUCUCAGUGAUGGACUGUUAACUCUGCCUCAGUUAAAAACUGGUCAGUCAGUGGUUGAGUUGGCACCACAGACCCUCAAACCCGAGCAGUGUGAUGAGCAUCGCCCCUGGGCAGAGGUGACACGGAAAGUUCCACAUUCUGGAAGGGAGACAACAGCUGGUCGGUCCAGGAUGACAGAGAACAAAGGAAAAGCUCUGAAUCUGUGGGAAUGGGAUCCUGUUUCCAGCAGGACUGGUUGGCAGGGCCAGGUUUUCUGCCUACUGUGCUCUGUCAGCUCUAAGAAGCACACCACAGUCCCUUACACCUCCACAGAGUUCAGAGGGAUUCAGGUGUGGAGUUAGAAUAGGGACAGAUGUUCUGUGUCAGAGGUCAUGGUGUGCUCCCACCGUGCUGUAUCCACGUGUCCAUGUUGUCAAGGGAUUCCUUCCCAGCCCCAGGAACCUUGGACAUAAUCCACUUAACAGUUUUUAUGCUGGGUAGAGUGACAGAGCCAGGAGAAUUGCCAGUUUGAGGUCAGCCUGGGUUCUGGAAUGAGACACCAUUCUACCCCUUCUUUCCACCCAAGCCCUUCAUGAUCUGCCAUUAGACAGCCAAUAAUGACAAAUACCCAUGGUCAUUAAACGUGCUUAAAAGCACGGACUGGAGAGAUAGGAAAAGGACCACUGACUGGACACUGGACAUCACGUCCACGCUACUGCUGUCACUCAAAGGGCUGGAGUCACCGUGUGUCCGACAAGAAAAAAGACUGGACACUGGACAUCACGUCCAUGCUACUGCUGUCACUCAAAGGGCUGGAGUCACCGUGUGUUCGACAAGAGAAAAGAAGGCUUGUUCUUCUUUGUAAAUUAGAAGUUGGUUGCUUCAGGGCUGUGGCAGUCAGGGGCGGGAAUAGAAGCUUCCAAUAAGAUUAUUCCCAAACCGAUACAAACAUUUAACAGCCUUGACUAUAUUGAUUGACUAGUUGAUCUAGCAAAAGCAUAGAAUGACAGGUAGCCUUAGAAAUUUCUUUUAUCUUCCUAAUCUGAAUCAGCUAGUUUCCCCUGGUAUUUUCCCCAUCUAAUAGGAAGGGACAGCCUCCCAGUGCCCAAGGACCUUUGUUUAGUUUAGUUCCUCUGACUUCCUUUCCGAGCCUUUCAUACUGUAUAGCAAAGGGGCUGUGUGAAUAAAAUGGUCCAAGGCAAGUGGCGAAGUGGGGGUGUGAUUAGAAGCUCC